GUGCCAGCCGCCGCGGUAAUACGAGAGGUCCAAGCGUUAGUCGGAAUCACUGGGCUUAAAGGGUGCGUAGGCGGGCUUGUAAGUGUCUUGUGAAAUCCCAUGGCUCAACCAUGGAACUGCAGGGCAUACUGCAAGCCUUGAGGAAUCUAGAGGCCGGCAGAACGAUAGGUGGAGCGGUGGAAUGCGUAGAUAUCUAUCGGAAUGCCAAAGGUGAAGACAGCCGGCUGGGGAUUUCCUGACGCUGAGGCACGAAAGCGUGGGGAUCAAACAGGAUUAGAAACCCUCGUAGUCC
rnacentral:rRNA from 1 species